CUCAGCUGUUCAGAGGAUUUCUGCUGGGCCUUGUCACUCUCCUUGACCUCAGCUCACAGUAAGCUGCCUUCUAAGGAGCUUGCUUCAAUGCAGGGGCACUGCUAGUUUUGUCAGGUCAGGUGUUAACACCUGGGAAAGGUCAGGCUACCAUGAGGCUUUGUGUUUUAGUCCGAGGGAUCUUACCACAUGGUGGAAUGCCGUGGGUGUUGGCUUAGGCGUGACCGACUCUUCCCUCUGGCCCCAGGCAGAAGGCCACAUGCUUGGAGCAGAGCAGAGGACAUUUCCCACUUCUACACUCCACAUGGUUUUGGCCUUGCCGGAAGAGGUCACAAAGUGGCUUUGGAAUUCACUCACACAACAUGAGGGUACUUUGCACAGGUAGAGAAUGGUUGAAAUACACACUACCUGAAGCUGGAUAACUCAUGAACUCUGUUGACAAUUAUAUUCUUUGUCUUUUUAAUUAACUCAUUUGGAGUUGGUGUCCUGAGGACCUAAGCCUAAGAAUCUUCAAGAUGGAAGAGUAGAGUGAACAAUGAAUGAGCCAGAGGGCUCUUGUCCUCUGUGUGCAGCUCUGGGCAGCCAGCAGGUGGAUAUGGGACUUGGCCUGCUGGAGGGGCCCUGGCAAGAGGAGCUGGCAGGAGCAGAUGGCAAAGGAUAAAGCGCUCCCUUGUUGGUGUCCCCACAGUCCAGGCUGGUGCUGAUGCCGUCCUGCCGUCCUGCAUCAGAGCCACUCAUGCCCGUGUGCGCACUCUUUGUCGGGGUCUGACACCGUUGCAUCGUAUAUCACCUGUGUUGUCAUGGUCAGUGCUCAACAAAUGCCCCUACUGAUUCAAGUAUAUGAGCAAGUCAAAUAAAAAAAUAAUAUGGCCGGG